rnacentral:lncRNA from 1 species
GACUACCUUUGAUUUGUAUCGGUGCAAAAGUGUGAUUACUCGUUUUACUUAUUCCAAAUUAAUCUAAUGGAAAUAAACCCGUAUAGGAAGAUUCGAACAUGAAGAAUAAUUAGUUGCUUAAGCAUUCACGUUAAGGUCACACAAUCAAUUACCUCCUGAAUGUAUCGUCUCUAUUUUCAAUAUCUAAACACACAAGGAAACUAUAAUCUCCUUCUUCACUUUAUUGGUCUCUUCUUUACAGUAAUUCAGUCAUACCAAUAACUGCUAUUUCCACCAAUAUAUUCACCCUCAUAAUCUCCAACUAUAAUACUGCGCCCUCAUAGCUUUCAGCAUACAAUUAUCCUCAUUCCAAUCAUUGGAAUUCUUCACACAAAACUGCCAUUCAUAUUACGGUGUUUCAUACAAACACAGACUCAUUUUCUCUGUUGAACUAUAAUCAAAUUUCAGCAUUCAAUCUUUCUUCUUCUCAAAUAAUACCAAUCAUAUUUCCAUUCCAUAAUUCACUUCACAAUAUUUAGAAACUCUCAAUCCUCUUAUUCAAAGAAAAUAACAAACAAAAGAAAAGAGGUAGCACUAAGCUUACCUCGGCUCACAACUAUCACAGCAAUGGUACCUUAAUUAACUUCUACAACUCUUAUAUACUUUCUCCU